UGAAAUUUGGGGAUUAUCUGCGGUUUCCUGAUGAUCUGUUCACUAUAGCUUUGGACAGCUGAUGUGUGGCUCAACUGAAGCGUGUUCUGGAAGAGGGCUGGGGCCCAUGGAGACAGCAGGCAGUGCCUAGCCAGGGCGCCUGUCUGAGAGCUGCCCAGGGUGGCCCCAUCUGGGCUGCUGCCAGGCCCCCAGUCCUACCAGCUCUGCCAGGUGGGUGGGGCCCCUCGGAGGCAGAAGAGGGCGGCCUGACACAAGCCCACACAGUGACUCAGGGGCUGGGCCCCGGGGCUUCUGGGGUCUGGCCAGGUGAACCACCAUGGGAGGUCAUGGGCGGUGGGGGAGGGGCUGUAUGUGUUUAUGUCUGUCUGUGAGUGUGUUUGGGCUGCUCUCCAGGCAGGGCCCCUUUCCUGGCCGCCUGGCCUGCACUGUACCACCACCAGGCCUGGUGGAACUCCUCCCAGCUUUGGUCCCUCCUCGCUGAGGCCUCUGACUGUUGAUGCUGCUUGGAGCUCUGCUGCCUUCAUGCCCUUGGCCUGUGCUUUCAAACUUUUCCCCACAGCACCCCUUAUCUCAGUCACCCACGGUGCCCUGCAGGCCUUCAGAUGCCACAAGCAAGACUUAAACCCCACUGUGUGGCAAGCUUCUGCCCCUCUCUUCUCUCUGACCCUUGUGGGUGGAUGGCUCAGUUCAGCUGCCUGUGGUGCUGGGGAGUGGAUUCUGGUUGGCUGGUCCAGAGCCCAGGGACCCUUCUCCGGCUGUUCUGUCCCAUUGUUCAGGGAGCAGUCUCUCUGCAGUUCCCCAAGGCCACCCUGGUGAGGCGGGAAUGAGCCUGGCAUGGCCUGUUACCUCCUUGGCGUGGCCGCAUGGUUCUGGGCUCACUUACAGCCUCGGAGAGGCUUCUGGAGAGAGCUGUGGCAGAGAGGGGAUUCCACUGGAUCACCCUCAGGGGGCGUGAGGCCGGCUGCUGACACCCCUGGGCGAGGUGGCUGAGAUGUGGCAUGGCACAGACCAUAGCUCCCAGUAGUUGCAGUCUCCAUGCAGCGGUUGGCCACCCCUCCAGGGGAGGGGUAUGUAGGUGCAUCGCCUUGGGCAGCUGCUGCUGCUGGCAAGGGACGUUCAGGGCAGCAGCAUGGCUUUGCUCUUUCUCUGUCCCCACACCAGGUCCCAGAAGUCUGUUGGUCUGGGUUGGGGGAGAGGGAAUGUGGGUGAGCUGGUGACAGUUGCAAAGAGCCUUGUCCUGGAAAGCUGAAGCAAAUGAACUUGCUGUUAAUUGCAGACCCUUGAUCAACCAAACCACUUGCUGUUCUGUGCUCUGGUUUCCUUCUUCGCCUGGAGGAACGUUGGCCACUGUCCGGUCCCCCCACAUGGUCAGGGUCAGGCGACAAAAAGGCAAUCUAAGACAGAGCUGAGCUCUUUCCUCCAGAGAUCUUUAAUCUCGAGGUGGAAGUGGGAUCCAGGCAAGAGGAGAACGAAGGAAACACAGAAGACGUACAAGCAGGUGAAAGGAGCGCCUAUGGGAGGAGCAGGAGGGGCCGCUCUUAGUACCCGCAGAGCUACCCGGAUGACUCCACACAUCCAUGGAAUUGACUCACUUUCGGUACCCACAGCACCGAAAGUGGGGCCUCAAGCACACUUAACACCGAGCGGCAUCUGAGUGAACGCACAGGGUAUUCGUGAAUCGUGCCAAGCGUGCCGGGGAAGUGGCCCCAGGAAGAAAGGCAGGAGGAGCGGCCUGGGAAGGCAGGACCUCAUAAACCAGAGUCACGUAGCUCCAUGUCCCCUUCCAAGGCCCCUGCUGUGAUCCUGGGGGUCCUGUAUCUGAUGGAAGGGCUCCUCUCAGAAGCAUGUGGGGUUGGCGGGAAUCAUGCCCCAAUUUGUCUGGCAGAACUCGCUGGUGGGAGAGCAGUGAGCUGGGUCACUCAGCGAUGGACCAGCUAAUCCAACUCCUUGUCUUGAUGAUGGAGCAACUGAGGCCCAAGGAUAUGAAGUGGCUUGUCCAAGGUCACACCAUGAGAGUUUGGACGUCAAAAUCUCCCAUUUGCUGACCCCCUGAAUGUCGUCCUGGGGUCGCAGGACAACGAGGAAGCCUCAAGAGGGUUUUGGUCCCUGGCUCUGAGCAAUGCCACCCACUUCCACCUCAACCCCCAACACAGCCAUACAGACUCAACAAGAAUACUUUUAUGCUCGCUGGGCGUCCUCUCGCAUCACAGUGAAUUAAGGAUCUGGCGUUGUCACUGCUGCUGUUAGGCCACU